rnacentral:rRNA from 1 species
GGGAGUAUGGUCACAAGGCUGAAACUUAAAGGAAUUGACGGAAGGGCACACCAGGAGUGGAGCCUGCGGCUUAAUUUGACUCAACACGGGAAAACUUACCAAGACCGAACAGUGUAAGGAAUGACAGGUUACUGGGUCUUUCAUGAUUCAUCGGGGAGUGGUGCAUGGCCGUUCUUAGUUCGUGGACUGAUUUGUCUGGUUAAUUCCGAUAACGAACGAGACUUGAACUUAUUAAUUAGUUGGGUGGAAAUCAUCUUCGGGUGGUUCUGCUUACUAUCCGCAAGGAUGGCGUGAAGAGUUUAUCUUCGUGACUUCUUAAAGGGACACAUCUUCAACGUUCUCGUAUGUUUGACUGGGUUCUCAGAGCAAUCUGUUGAUCCUAGACAAAUGUCGGGAAAAAGAAGAAGGAAGCGUCAAGCAAUAACAGGUCUGUGAUGCCCUUAGACAUCUUGGGCUGCACGCGUGCUACAAUGAAAGUACUAACGAGUUUUCGCUGUUUGCGGGUGGUAAUGAGUUUCGCAACUAAUUGCUAUUUGCAGGCAGCAAUUUCCAAGUCCGAAAGGACAAGGCAAGCUCUAAUGUCUUUUAUUUAAUUCUUGACUGGGAUGAAUGAUUGGAAUUAUUUGUUCUGAACAAGGAAUUCCUUGUAAGCGCAAGUCAUUACCUUGCGCUGAAUAAGUCCCUGCCCUUUGUACACACCGCCCGUCGCUCCUACCGAUUGAAUAAAGAGGUGAAAUCUCAGGAUUUUGGUGGCUUGCCAUUGGGAGAAUGAGAGUAAAUCUCUUUGUUUAGAGGAAGGAGAAGUC